CAUUAUGUAGUAGCAUUUUUAUAAUAAAAUGAACAUAAAAAAUUAAAAUAAAAGAAAAUUAAACAAGACUUAAUUAACCAAAAUAAAAUCGAAAAGAAAACAUAGAAAAAACUAAUUAAUUAUUACAAACAUUUUGGCAAAGAAAUAAAAAAAAUUGGAUAAAAAACAAACAAAAAUCGGGCUCAAAAAUGUUCGAAAAAAAACUGAAUGCGCCAACAUUAUCAACGCGAAACAAACUUCUCGGGAACAUACAUGUUUUGAUCAGAUUUUGAAAUAAAAAAUGAUCGGUAAAAAGGCUCAAGUUGAUUAAAAUAUGAUCAAAAAAGUAGUCGAAAAAUUCGAAUGAGCACACCAGGUUAAACUACGUGUAACGCAAAUUAAUAAAA
rnacentral:lncRNA from 1 species